CGCCGCGGUAAUACGUAGGUGGCAAGCGUUAUCCGGAAUUAUUGGGCGUAAAGAGUGAGCAGGCGGUCAUUUAAGUCUGAGUUUAAAGCUAUGGGCUCAACCCAUAUCAGGCUUGGAAACUGGAUGACUAGAGUACGAGAGAGGUAAAUGGAACUUCAUGUGUAGCGGUGAAAUGCGUAGAUAUAUGAAAGAACACCAGUGGCGAAGGCGAUUUACUAGCUCGAUACUGACGCUCAGUCACGAAAGCGUGGGUAGCAAAUAGGAUUAGAUAACCUAGUAGUCCACGCCGUAAACGAUGAUAACUAGGUGUUGCAAGAUUGCAGCGCCGAAGCUAACGCAUUAAGUUAUCCGCCUGGGGAGUACGCUCGCAAGAGUGAAACUUAAAGGAAUUGACGGGGACCCGCACAAGCAGUGGAGCAUGUGGUUUAAUUCGACGCUACGCGAAGAACCUUACCAGGACUUGACAUGGAAUUAAAGGCCCUAGAGAUAGGGAGAUAGUUAUAGUUCACACAGGUGGUGCAUGGCC
rnacentral:rRNA from 1 species